rnacentral:rRNA from 1 species
CCCGAAGUAUCCUGAAUCUUUCGCAUUGUUAAUCAUACAAGUGCAUAUAAUAAACACAAAAAUCAAUGAUAAUCAUGACAUUAUAUAAUUCCGAAAAAUUAACGCACUGUAAUCUUAUAAAUCUAUCAGCACUUUAUCAAAGUUACAACUCUUAUUUUAUGUUAAAAUGCAAGCACUUUAAUUAAAAUAAACAAAAAGACAUAAUUUUUUGAUAAAUUAAUAUACUAAUAGAUUACAAUGUCCUUAUAUGGAAAAAAUGCACACUAUUAUUAUAAUAUUGUUUAAAUAUUACAAUUCUAAUGAUGAAUUUUCCAUAACGGAUAUUCAGGUUCAUCGGGC